CUUGCCUGGCCACGGUCAGUACCCCCAGAGCCCCACAGGUGGGAAACGGGGGGUUGGAGAAAUCGGGGAAGACAAGGUCAGCCCUCGGAGGCAGGUCAAGCCUGGGGAAGAGCGACUCCUCCCGCACCUCUCGGGACGGACAGGGCUUUCGGCUGCCAGUGACCUCGGGGCCGGGACAUCAGACGGGGGCAGGAGACGACGUGAUUCCCGGCCAGCUAUGGGGAACUGGGAUACAGAUGCCUGUUCCUCCUUCUCCCUAUGGAUGGACAAUUCCCCCGCCCAGGGCCAGCAUGCUGUGGGAUGCACUGUGAAAACUGGGAAGAGUUCGAUGCACAAGCCCUGAAGAAAAAGCAACUCCUUUCUUUUGCACCAAGGCUUGGCCCCAAUACAAGUUGGAGGUGGAAACCUGGCCGCACGAGGGAAAUAUCAAUUAGAACACUGUCCUACAAUCGGGCAAAUGGAGAGAGGUCCCUUCUGUUCGGCGUUUUUCAGCGUUAAGAAAAAAAUCGAGAUGCGCGCAUAAGCUACGUAAGGAUUUAAGACAGAUAAACGGAGCUCAAGGGAAACUUUCUGAUGAGCCAGGAAAGGAGGACCUCUGAGAAGGAUGUUUCCAACACCCUCCCAGUACAUCGGACCUCUGGGUCCUGCCCUGCCCGUGCCCUGCCAUUGCCCCCCUUCAGCAGGAUGUAGCUGAGGUGGGUCAUGGGGUGCCGGGGUGGCUCAGUCAGUAAGUGUCCGGCUUCGACUCAGGUCACUAUCUCAUGGUUUGUGG